rnacentral:lncRNA from 1 species
ACAAGAAGCUAGGUUACUCUCUUUCAAAAACUUUACACAACUUAAAUAAGUCGAACAUAAUACUAUAAUCAGUUAAGUUCGUACUUAUACAAACACUUUCCGCACAUAACGCAAAGUUGAACAUAUUCCUCUUCCAUUACUUAGAAAAAUUGAGCCACUCAUUCAGCUACAUCUCUAUUCAUUAAAAAAAAAAAGUACAGAUCAAAGCCAUUCCCUCAUUGCAUCAUCUAGUUGUCAAUACUUAAAUGGGUAAAAGACCCAAAUCACUCUAACACCAAGGCAACAAAUAUUUGAAAAGAGAAAUAUACUGAAUUGAAUGAGCAUCUUAAUACCUUUCAACCUAACCAGUUAUCAUUGGGCAUACCGUUGUUAUCACAACAUUAAUAAGCCUGAAACUUCUCUUUCUGCCCAGUCCUUUUUCCUGUUCGAACCAAAGGUCAAUGAUCAUUCCAUUAUUUAUAUCGAUUUGAGUGAACAUCAUCUAAUCGGGAAAAAAUAUUUUGCAUAUAACCAAAAUUCAUGCAUCAUAGAUUUAAGUUUAUUAUGUUAACAAUGCAAAACAUAAAAUACAAUGUUUUGUACUAAAGCAUUAACAAGCCCUAUCAACAUAGCAUAAAUAGGCCCGAACCUUAACUAUCAACCUUCCACUACAAACGACCUACAAAAUACUUGCAUAGGUCAAUUAAAAAGCAAAUUAUCGUUUUUAUGAGCACCAACAAAUCAUCCAUUAUUUACAAAAAUAAUAAUCUUCCAACUUCAGCACAAAUUCCUUCUCUGUUUUGUUAUGGGCAUGUUUGGAACUCGUUGAAAGAAAGAGAAAAGAACGAAAUGUUAGUAAGGGAGAAAUAAAAGGGGAAGUAUAAUUAUUUUUCUCUGGUUUUACAAAGAAAAUAAAGGAAUACAAAUAAGGAAAAUACCUUCCCUGUAACUGAAUUAACAAAAACCCUACCAGUUCAGCACCAGACCAUCAGUCAAUCCCUCUCUCCUUCAAAAUAUGGACCACAGACGAUAAGAAAGAGGAAGUAACGAACCCGUAACUGAAUUAACAAAAACCCUACCAGUUCAGCACCAGACCGUCAGUCAAUCCCUCUCCCCUUCAAAAUAUGGACCACAAACGAUAAGAAAGAGGAAGAAACGAAGAAAACUAUAACAAUAAAAAAAAAUGAGGUAAACAAGUUUCUUUACAAGUUAUGAGAUGCAAAGAUGGAAACAAACAAACCAGGCAUAAUUAAUCUAGAAUCGUCAAGCAUUCUGUCCUCCAUCCCUAUGUUUAAGUUAGCAAAGCAAUAAAAUGGACCUAUGAACUCCAGCCUCAACAAAGGGCUUACCAAAACGCAGCAUCAUAAAAUUAUUUAAAAUUCACAAGAAGCACCCUGCAAUAUUUAUGUAAAAACGAGGACAAGAAGAUGACAAUAACCAGAUGGAACACAUCUUUACAAUAAUAGAAAUAUAAGGCAGCUCAAGAAACCUCCUUGCUCUAAUAAUGCUUUGGAUACCGGGCAACAACCAUUGCAAUAUAAAAUAAAAGACAAAAAAAUGAUGGUCCAGAUUCAAGGAGAUGCAAAACCUGAUACCGCACUCACCAGACACAUGAAAUUCAAAAUUGCUAUUUACCAGUGCUCCAUGUUUAAAUAAACAAUAGAAGCCAUCAAAAGAAAAGGUGAAAAAAUAAAAAAGGAACCAUGGUACCUAGAACCUGAACAAGAAGACAGGAAUGCACAUAUUAAUCAUCAAAGUACCUGUCACCAAAAGAAAGAAUCAAAACAGAAACUGCUAUGGGUAGAACAAAACAGCAAAUCAUAUAAAAACCAGUACCAAUCCAGCUACAUCCUGUCCACAACAGAUACGAACAGACGGGGAAAUACUAAGCAUUCACCUUAAAAAUUCAAGGAUAAGGGAAGCCUCACCCGAAAUUGACUAUACCAAUAAAAUUCAAGAUACCCACUCAUAUCAAUAAAUACUGCAUAAAGAGAUCAGGAAAGAGGUCACCAAAAAAGGUUCAAGAAUCCCAUCAAAACAAAUUAAAGAACAAGACAGCGCUCAUCGAUCUUCAGGAUCUUCCGAACAACUGGUACCCAUAAACAAUUAAUUAUUAAAAAGGAGGGGGGAAACAAAACUGUGAACGCCAACCUCAAUAAGGGCUUUCCCAAGUGCAGCAUCGUAAAAUUAUUUAAAAUCCGCACGAAGCACCCUGAAUUAUAAACGGAUCUAAUACAGAUUUCAGAACCCAAAAAAUUCUCACCAAGGAGGGCUCGCAAACAGCUCUUAUGAUUCAAUUGAUAUUACUUCACAAAAAUUGUUCUAGUAAAUAGCAAAACCAAGAAUAGAUCUCUUAUGAACGUAUCAUCAAAUCCAAACACAAUAUCAUGGACGAUCUCCUAAGUCCAGAUUUGGAACCCAAACCACAACUGUCUUAAAGAAUUCAAUGAACCCAAAAAGGCACGAGACCCAACCAGCACAACUUGAAUACGUAUAUCAUCAAAUUCCACAAAGAAAGCAAUGAUUACCUUGAUACCAAAAAAUACCUUGAUAAACAACUUCAAAUCAACCCGAAACGCUCUCUACGAAUCACAAAAUCUCUAACAACAUCUCUGCGAAGCGAAUAAAGAACACAGAGCCUACGCGAGAAACGAGGCACGGUGUCCCAAUUUAUAGGUGAAGUCGGUGCAGAGACACGGCUAGGAUUAAGUGUGGGUUUGAGAUCGGACGGUUGAAACCCG